AGCUGACUAAGUGUUUUCGGCACAUUGAUUUUUCACGUCAAAAGAGCACACAGUGCAUUUAGCUAC
rnacentral:tRNA from 1 species